rnacentral:misc_RNA from 1 species
AACGCACGAGACCUGCGGACCUGCGGAGGGAUCAUUACCGAGUUAUACAACUCCCAAACCCACUGUGAACCUUACCUCAGUUGCCUCGGCGGGACCGCCCCGGCCGCCGCGCAAGCGGCGCCGGACUCCAAGGCGCCCGCCGCAGGGACCCAAAACUCUUUUGCAUUACGCCCAACGGCGGGAAUUUUUUUCUCUGAGUGCAUAAGCAAAACAAAUGAAUCAAAACUUUUAGCAAUGGAU